rnacentral:tRNA from 1 species
GGGCAGGUGGCGGAGUGGACAAUCGCAGCAGACUGUAAAUCUGCCGCCCGUAGGGGCUACGUAGGUUCGAAUCCUACCCUGCCCA